AAGGAUUUCAGAAAUACUGGU
rnacentral:miRNA from 1 species